rnacentral:rRNA from 1 species
AUGGAAGUGGCAUUAGCUACUGCUGCCUUAAGCGUAAGCUUAAAAUUGGCUGCAUCGCCGGCCUUAAAGAAGCUCCUUUCUAAUGCUUCAACGUACCUUGGAAUUGAUAUGGCUCGUGAGCUCCAUGAACUGGAGACCACUGUCUUGCCGCAGUUCGAGCUGUUGAUUGAAGCAGCAGAUAAGGGAAACCACAGGCUCAAGUUGGACAAAUGGCUUCAGGAACUCAAAGAAGGCUUCUACCUGGCUGAAGACUUGCUGGACGAGCAUGAAUACAACCUCCUCAAGCGCCAAGCAAAGGGGAAGGCUUCCUUGCCGGCCAACGCCUCCUCCAUCAGCAACACUUUAAUGAAGCCUCUGCGUGCUGCAUCAAGCAAGCUGUCCAAUAUGAGCUCUGAGAACAGAAAGCUAAUUCAACAUCUGAAUGAACUGAAGACCACCCUGGUGAAAGCCAAGGACUUCCGUACACUGCUUUGCUUACCAGCUGAUUAUAAUGCAGAGAACCCUCCCAUAUCAUCAGCUGUUGUUCCGGAGACGACAUCAAUACCACCUCUGAAAGUGAUUGGUCGUGACAAGGAUCGCGAUCAUAUAAUAAAGCGUCUUACCAGGACAACUGCUAGUACUGAUUCUAGUAUAGCUUUGUACUCAGGUUUGGCCAUCGUUGGAGCUGGAGGCAUGGGAAAGUCCACCUAG